rnacentral:lncRNA from 1 species
CUCUCUCUUUCUCUGCAAUAUUGCUCUUGUUCUUUUAUUAUUUUAUAACACGUUAUCAGCACGAGACUCUACCGUCUCAAGAAGCUCUUUGAGAAGAAUGUAACGAAACUAGAAGAAGAAGGGAUUUUGAAAAAAAGGAAAAAAUUCGAAGAAAGAAAGAAGGAACAGAAGAGAACAAAGAAAGUGUAAAAAAAAGAAGGUGGAAGUUUUGAAGAGGAAAACGACAAAGAAGAAAAAUGAGGUUUUUCUUAGGAAAAGAACAUCUGUUGAUUUUUUUAGCAAAAGAACUUCUCUUUUCCUUCAAUUAUGUGCUUUGUCACCAUUCUUGCCAUAUUUUCUGGCAAGUUCCGAGUAUGUCAAGAUUUUUGGUUCCGAAUUUUGUUCGAGUUUCACGAGCAUAGAUUUCAAUCUAUUGGAGUAUUUGCUUUGAAGCUUUAUUUGGUGUUUGUUCCUGCUGCAAAGCUUUGUUAAAAGAGUUUUUCUUUAUUGAAUAAAAAAAAAUAUAGUUUGGCUUCAUUAAAGAGAACUCAUCAAAGACCAGCUAAACCAGUCAAGCCCCGCAUCCAGCAACACUGCUGGAUCCAGUUCCGCCGGAAACCAGCGACCACCCGUUUCUGCUUCUGCCUCGUCCAGCAGUAUCCUCCCCCCACUGCUUCAUCCCCCGUCGUCAUGCCGCCAUAGUAACGAAACAACCUCCGGCCCACUGUCACGCCAUUGACGUCUCAAACGACGACCUUCAUUGUCGAUCACCCAUUAGCUUCUAAACCAGGCCACCACCACUUCACCAUCCAGCACGCAAGGCAGUCCGUCGACCCCACUAUCAACAGCCCGUCAAGGUUCGAGAGAGAAGGUGGGCGUCGAGGACAUUGGCAAUUUUUGUUCGUGUUUUCGUUUCCGUUAAGGUCGUUGUUCGUCAAGGUCCGACCGAGGUUCCGUCGGAGUUCCAACGCAUUAGACGUCAAUCACAACACGAGACUCUAACCAAUUGAGUAGAAGCUUUGGNNNN